ensembl:miRNA
UAUUAGCUUGGUGCAAAAGUAAUUGCAGUUUUUGCAAUUACUUUUAAUGGCAAAAAUCACAAUACUUUUGCACCAACCAAAUAU